CAGCAGCCACGGGAAUACGGAGGGGUCUAGCGUUGUUCGGAAUUACUGGGCGUAAAGCGCACGUAGGCGGCUUGGUAAGUUAGAGGUGAAAGCCUGGAGCUCAACUCCAGAAUUGCCUUUAAGACUGCCGAGCUAGCAGGUGAGAGAGGUAAGUGGAAUUCCGAGUGUAGAGGUGAAAUUCGUAGAUAUUCGGAAGAACACCAGUGGCGAAGGCGGCUUACUGGCUCAUUCUAGACGCUGAGGUGCGAAAGCGUGGGGAGCAAACAGGAUUAGAUACCCCAGUAGUCCCUGUCUCUUAUAC
rnacentral:rRNA from 1 species